rnacentral:tRNA from 1 species
GGGGAUGUGGUGUAGAGGUUGUCACGUUUCAGUUGCAUUGAAGAGGUCACGGGUUCAACUCUCGUCAUCUCUA